rnacentral:rRNA from 1 species
CAGUAGCCGCGGUAAUACGUAGGGUGCAAGCGUUAAUCGGAAUUACUGGGCGUAAAGCGUGCGCAGGCGGUUUGUUAAGACAGAUGUGAAAUCCCCGGGCUCAACCUGGGAACUGCAUUUGUGACUGGCAGGCUAGAGUAUGGCAGAGGGGGGUGGAAUUCCGCGUGUAGCAGUGAAAUGCGUAGAUAUGCGGAGGAACACCGAUGGCGAAGGCAGCCCCCUGGGCCAAUACUGACGCUCAUGCACGAAAGCGUGGGGAGCAAACAGGAUUAGAUACCCGGGUAGUCCCUGUCUCUUAUAA